rnacentral:rRNA from 1 species
UACGGUGGGAGCAAGCGUUGUUCGGAUUUACUGGGCGUAAAGGGCGCGUAGGCGGCCACCGCAAGUCGACUGUGAAAUCUCCGGGCUUAACCCGGAAAGGUCAGCCGAUACUGCGGGGCUAGAGUGCAGAAGGGGCAACUGGAAUUCUCGGUGUAGCGGUGAAAUGCGUAGAUAUCGAGAGGAACACCUGCGGCGAAGGCGGGUUGCUGGGCCGACACUGACGCUGAUGCGCGAAAGCCAGGGGAGCGAACGGG